GACGGAAGGUGCAAGCGUUGCUCGGAAUCACUGGGCGUAAAGGGUGCGUAGGCGGCUUGGUGGGUCUGGUGUGAAAGCCCCGGGCUCAGCCCGGGAAGGGCACUAGAAACUGCCGAGCUGGAGUGCCGGAGGGGAGAGUGGAAUUCCUGGUGUAGCGGUGAAAUGCGUAGAUAUCAGGAGGAACACCAAUAGCGAAGGCAGCUCGCUGGGACGGUACUGACGCUAAGGCGCGAAAGCGUGGGGAGCGAACAGG
rnacentral:rRNA from 1 species